GAUGAACGCUGGCGGCGUGCCUAAUACAUGCAAGUCGAGCGAACGGACGAGAAGCUUGCUUCUCUGAUGUUAGCGGCGGACGGGUGAGUAACACGUGGAUAACCUACCUAUAAGACUGGGAUAACUUCGGGAAACCGGAGCUAAUACCGGAUAAUAUUUUGAACCGCAUGGUUCAAAAGUGAAAGACGGUCUUGCUGUCACUUAUAGAUGGAUCCGCGCUGCAUUAGCUAGUUGGUAAGGUAACGGCUUACCAAGGCAACGAUGCAUAGCCGACCUGAGAGGCUGAUCGGCCACACUGGAACUGGGACACGGUCCAGACUCCUACGGGAGGCAGCAGUAGGGAAUCUUCCGCAAUGGGCGAAAGCCUGACGGAGCAACGCCGCGUGAGUGAUGAAGGUCUUCGGAUCGUAAAACUCUGUUAUUAGGGAAGAACAUAUGUGUAAGUAACUGUGCACAUCUUGACGGUACCUAAUCAGAAAGCCACGGCUAACUACGUG
rnacentral:rRNA from 1 species